AUGUGGUUCCACAAGUCCAAUAUACACUGCGUCUGCGUCGUCACCCUUGUUGAAAUCGUGGCGAGAGUCGUAGGUGACUGUACCUCUGAAUACAUGACGCAGCGGUCGGUCGCCGAGGUCGUCGAGGUUUACGGCACCAGGACUCUACCACCACCAACGCCAGUACCGAUCGCGACGUCAACACCGCCCGUGCUCGGGGCGCCAUCCCGAGCCUUCGAUGCACCGUCGUCAGUCUAUGCACCGGCCUCGCUAUCGUUUUAUUUUCCACCGGCCGCGGACCCGGACUGGAAACGCGUCGCGUCGCAGUAG
rnacentral:rRNA from 1 species